rnacentral:misc_RNA from 1 species
AUUUUUUCUAGGGUUUAAUCUCUGCUUCUCCGGUGAUUCUCCGGCGAGAUCUCCAAUCAGGAGAUGUCUCGAGUGGAAGAUUUAUGGGAACGGUUGGUGCGAGCAGCACUGCGUGGUCAUAGGGCUGCCGCUGGGAGAUCGGCAGGAGGGAUUGCUGCGAAUGUCCCAUCCUCGCUUGCGAAUAACAGGGAUAUAGAUGACAUUCUAAGAGCUGCGGACGAGAUUCAAGAUGAGGCCCCUAAUGUGUCCAGAAUACUAUGUGAGCAUGCCUAUUCCUUGGCUCAAAAUUUGGAUCCUAACAGUGAGGGGAGGGGUGUUUUGCAGUUCAAGACUGGUCUGAUGUCUGUAAUCAAGCAAAAGCUUGCGAAGCGGGAG